GUCGGGCGGUCGGGUUUCAUCACCGUCAGGACGAGUUUCUUCUCCCGUUCCCAACGGGGCCACGGGGGCACAUAGGGGCCAUCGCAAGGGUCUCUCCCCCCAUCCGGUCUAAAAGAACCGGGCCUUCGACUUUGCUCAUGUCAGGACGAGAUUCUUCUCUUGUUCCUGACAUGGCUGUGGGGGCACAUUAGGGCGUUGUAAGGCCUCUCCCCCCAUCCGAUCUAAAAGAAUCGGGCCUUUGACUUUGCUCAUGCCAGGAUGAGGUUCUCCUCCUGUUCCUGACAUGGCU
rnacentral:lncRNA from 1 species